CUCGUAGGCGGUCUGUCGCGUCGAAUGUGAAAACCCGGGGCUCAACUCCGGGCCUGCAUUCGAUACGGGCAGGCUAGAGUUCGGUAGGGGAGACUGGAAUUCCUGGUGUAGCGGUGAAAUGCGCAGAUAUCAGGAGGAACACCGGUGGCGAAGGCGGGUCUCUGGGCCGAUACUGACGCUGAGGAGCGAAAGCGUGGGGAGCAAACA
rnacentral:rRNA from 1 species